CUCCGUUCUCUUAACUUUCUUCAUCCAAAAGUGCUUUUGGCUGAUAAUUUCCAUUUUUAACUUGUCUUCUCCCCAAAAAACGUUUUUCCUCUGGUUCUUUGUCUAUACUCAUUUUUUUUCACAUUUUCUCUUUCAAAGUUCUUUCCUCUGGUUCUUUAUUCCUCUCCCGCCGCUUCAUUGCUCAAUAGGAGUUUGAUCUCUCUUGUUGAUUUGAUCGCUUUCCUUCUCAUUCAGUAUACUGCACCUAAAAUAGGAUUUCGUUUCAGGAGGAAAUAUUUGUUACUGUGGCCUGUUAUCAUAUUUUCCCUACUUGUUUUUCUUUCACAAGUUGCAUAUCUUGUUAUAUGGGCUGUUGGAGGCUAUAAACAGAGUGUAGGAGAUGCUUGGUGGCUCAAGCUAAUUGGUUUUAUGAUAAUCCAGUCUUGGAGAUCUCUCACUGUGAUCUAUUUUUUGGUUACACAACUUCUAGUGCUAGUAGUUGCAUUGCUUGAUAUACAUGGGAAUAGAUUCGGUCUUGUUCCAUAGCGGUAUACUUGUUGGGGUCAUUUCUUAACAGUUGUUGAACAAUUAGGUUUAAAAUGCGCAUGGUCGAGAAAGUGAUGAUGAUGACAACGACGAUGAUGAUGGUGAUGAUGACGGUGAAUGAAACAAUUCAAGUGGUUUUGAAAUGGAAUUAACAAGAGAUGCUAUAGCUUCUAGUUUAAUGAAUUCACUUUAAAUUGUAAAUGCUAUUGUAAAAUUUUUAGUAUUUAUAUUUGGUAUAUAAAUAUUAUCCCUUUUUAAAACUUUAAUCCAAAUAUAUGUAAUAUUUUAA